ensembl:lncRNA
UGGCAUUCAUGUUUGUUACCAGUGCUGCAUAAUGAGAUUGUCUUUUAGAGUCAACAUGUUUUCACCUUGUUUUAAGGCUAGUUAUUUUUUUCCAAUACAGAAUGCACUAAUGUAUCACUAACAUCAGUUAAACAUACUACCUGACCUCACUCUGGAAAGAGAGAUUGCUGUGGUCACCCACCCAAGGAUGGAACAUUUUGCCUGCACAUACACUGCACUCAUUAAUAAAAAUUACCCAAGAAAGAAAGUUUGCAAAGCUAAUUUUGUAGACUGCUCCAUGAGGAUUUACAGUGCUGUCACUGCUGGUAACUGUUAAAGCAGCACUUCACGCCUUGCACAGCAUUUCUUACUCAGGCAACUUAUUUCCACUGUACAAAUAUGAAACCCACGGUACCUAAAAAAUACAAACCGAACAAAAUCAGGAGUAAAACGUGAGGGGUUGAUCCUAAAAAGGAAGAAAGCACAAGACUAUAAAGAGAAGUAUCACUGACAAAAGCAUUGGACACCAUGGCAGUAAGUAGACAACAGAUAGGAAUAUCUAGUUUAGAGAGAUCUUAAAAGCCAGUUUUUAGUAAUUUACUACCAGUUCAUAUAAACUCACAAAAUGUAACGGGAAUUUAUAUUUUAGUUACUAGAAGUCCUCCAAUGUACUUACACCAAAAAAGAUAAACCUAUACAGAAAACCAGAACUGGCUGUAUACUAUGGCGAAUAUCCCUCCAUGUACAGGUAUAAGACUGAUUAUUUGCAGUAGUUCAUUCCUUCAAGGAAAAUUAACAUGAACUGGAAGAGCAACCUAGUCAUGUAUUUUCUGGAAUAGCAACUUACAUAUUCAUUACUGGUAACAGCAGUGAAUACAUUUUCAACGUACUCAUAACUCAAAAAUAAAUCUAAGUUAUUUCAGUAUUUUUUUUAUCAUCACAACUCAACAAGUCUUCCUGUGUCAGUUUGUCUCCAACUUACACAGCUAUUCUUUCCUUCCAAGAAAAUCUAGAUGUUAAUUGGUGCCACUUACAAUAAAGGAAAAACUAUCUCAUCUAGUCUUGAGAACAGAACCGUCCGUUCAUUAAGAGCAUGUUUUAUUUCAAUCUGCCAUCAAAAUCUCAAUUUCAAGGACUUUCACUACCUAAAGCUUUGCUGUAGCUGAGGGUUUUAUACAAUGAGUACAUCACGAAUUGAGCAUCCAGAGCCAGCAUUAGCAAAUGAAGCAAAUGUGAUAUGAAAGUAAUAAAAGGUUGAAUGAAUACAAAAAACUACGAUUUCUUUUUAUACUGCUACCUGAAAAACUAAAAAUUAAGUUAUGAAAGUGACUGUUAGUGGAAGGUCUGUUAGAAAAAUAGGUUAUGUCUGUAUGCAUACAUAUGUCUGUCCAUUUCACACUGCCAAGUCCUCCAAGGAAUCUGUAUGCCUCAAAGCAAGAGAGCAAGAAGAGGAACUCACCUACGCAUCCUGUUUUCAUUGUAUCUAUAAGGACCACAAGAUAAACAUUUGUUUCCUUGAAAAACUGGAAACCUGCAAACAGACCAUUUGUCUAGCCAGUGCCUGCAUGAUGAGCGCUCUCACCAUUAAUCCCCUGCGGCAGGAGGGUUGGAACUAGAGGAUCUUCAGGUCCUUUCCAACCCUAACUAUUCUAUGAUUCUAUGAUUAAUUUUAGCUUUUCUUAACCAGCUAGAAUCACAACAGAUCUGUGUCUUAACAGACUUGUGGUACAAAAGCUAUGUUUAGGAUAAAAAGCCAUGAACGUAAGUUCUCAGUGCCCAGGUGUUUCCUUUAACAUAAGCAUGUUAAGGGGCAACAUCGUUAGACCUACCACACACACAGCCCUUUGCGGAGCAACAGACUCUGUGGGUUUUGGUGGUAGAAAACUAGGACAUUUUCAAUUCCCAAACAUACUUUUCAUGCAAGAUGUAGACGCAGAACUUGCUCUGACUCAUGGGUCUUGUCAUAUUUGAUAGAUAACAACAAAUGCUUUUGGAACCACUGUGCUCAGGAACGUUUUAAGCAGUUUCAUCUAUCACUUUGUCUAUGUGCAGGUAGAAAAAGAGGGAAGUCAGUCUUAGGAAUCCUCAAGCUCUGAAGAGAUGGUGUUUUGGGCUUCAGAAUAAUUCACGGCAAUCCUACCAUCAACAGCACAGCCAAUCUGUAGUAAGAGUAUCACUUGGAAAGAGACAAGACAGCACAGACAAGGUAACAGCAAAAGACCCUUAGGCACAAGGAAUGACAGAAGUCAUGUAUCAUCAGAAUCAUGGUCUAGCUAUAUAUUCAGAAAAUUGAUGCAGUUAGCUACCGGUGUUUGAGAAAGGUGCUUACAAACCUAAAGUGAACAGUCAAGGAAUAUCCAUCCAUGAAAGAAGACCUCCUAAUUAGAAGAAGGAAGCUAAAGUAAUUUAUUUAAGUGACAGAGACCAGUAUGUCCUUUAACUGCAGCCUAUGUUCAGACUGAUUGCUUUGAGUUGCUCAUUUCUCUUCAGUGACUCCUGCAUACUCAGAAAGAGAUUCUGUAUUAAAGAAUUAAAGGAUUCACAUACCACAAUAAAAAAGAAAUCCGAAAAGAAAAAAAA